UUUUUUUUUCCUUUUCUUUCAUUUUCUUCCUUUUUUUAGGGCUGCAUUCGAGGCAUAUGGAAUUCCCAUGAGAAAAGCGCCCUCUCUGUACUGCAAAAACAAGAAUAUCUUUAUCACCAUAGAUUUGGAACAGACAUUGCAAUGGUUCUGUACAAAACAAACUUACUAAAAUAAUCCUGUCUUCCACCAGUUCCCCCUCCAAUAUUCUCUCCUAGUCAUUCCCCCACAAUGUACUGCCCCUGGCCCAAACCCCCAAACCCCUUUGUCAUCACUUCUUCAUAAAUUGAUCAUUUCUUUGUCUAAAAGGCAUAAAAGUUUCUGCUCUGUUCUUCAUUAUCUUGUGAAAGCUUCAUGCACAUGUAAAAAUGUAAUAAAACUUGUUUGCUUUUCUCCUGUUAGUUCAUCUUAUGUCAGUUUAAUUAAUUCUUAGGUCCAGCUAGAGAACCCAGGAGGAUCGAGAAUUUUUCCUCCCCUACCACUCAAACUAAGUCACACACAUGCCAGGUUCUUAGUGCUGUGCCUGAAGCUCAGGAUCAAACCAAGUGUAAUGUGGGAGUAAAAAUAGCUCCCGUUCCCUAAAGGUUGGCCCUCCUGAGCUCCAGCCCCAUAUACCUGACAGCACACUGCUCUUUAGUUCAACCUGCAAAAGCCAUCUCCCCAUCUGCCCCACACACACCUGGGAAUAGCGCCAUCUCCCACUCAUUCUCGCAAGCCAGAAACCUGGACAUCACCCUCAGUUUUCCCCUUUCCCUCCCCUGCCCUCUACCACUUCCAGCCGUUCACCAGGACCUACCCAUCUGACCUCCUAAAUCUUCCCUGGGAUCAAUCACUUCUCUCCCAUCCCCACAACCACAGAGCCAAGCAAGACCCCCACCAUCUCUGGCCUCGAACCACUGGUGUAGCCUCCUAACUAUUGUCUCCUGUUCCCCUAACCGCCAACUCCCCCCCGCCCAAUACCACAGCCAGAGAAACCAGUCUUGGGAACUGCAAAUCAUAACAGCAACAAUGAACACUCAGUGAAUGCUGACUUUGUGCUAGGCACUGCUCUGACCUUAUGCCUCCCCCACUUAAAAUCCUCCACUUUCUGUGGCACUCAGGACAAAAACCCCCACCUCUUUGCUUAGGCCUCGAAGGCCCUGCAUGAGCUGGGCCACGGCUCUUUCUCUAUUUCCCCUGCUGGAUGGAAUUCUAAAGGGUCUCUUUCUGAACAAUUGUGUGCCUCAGUUUUCUGCUUUUAUUUCUGUGUGGAGAACUGAUGUCAAAGAUAAACACAGCCAGACAUUGGCUAAAGCAAUGAAAACAGAUUUUAUUCAGUAACUGAUAGUGAUGGAGGAGACACAGGUAGUUUUAGAAGUCCCAUUAAAGGAUCUAGAUAGAGAGGGGAAUCUGGGGGACUAUGGGAGAUCACUGUAAGUAAAUAAACUGCUCAAAAAAGCCAUCAGAACAAGGCAGCUUUGCUUCAUUAGUGGAGCCUAGAGAAUCACCUCAGGUCUUUGUGGUGGGGAUGGAAUGAGGCCUGCAUUCAGAGUCAGACCACGGGCAGGAGUUUGAGGACCACCCUUCUGCUGAUUUGAAUACACACCUUGCCUGAUACUAAAGAGGAGCUACUGCUCCCAGAAAGGAAGAGGGGGGCUUUUCCAACCCCCACUCCCCUUGGAGGAUAAAACUGUAGCCCACCGGAUCCUCUGGGCAGUUUCCGUGCCUGGCCCCCUUGCUUCUCUCACAAGCAUCCUAUCCUAACAAAUCCAUUUCUUGCCUGUCGCUUUGUCUCUUGCUGAAUUCCUUCUGCGCAGAGUCAUGAAGAACCUGAACCUCAGUGAGUCCAGACACAGGGUGAGUGAUUCUAACUUA
rnacentral:lncRNA from 1 species